GAUGAACGCUAGCUACAGGCUUAACACAUGCAAGUCGAGGGGUAACGAGAGGAAAGCUUGCUUUCCUUGUCGACGACCGGCGCACGGGUGAGUAACGCGUAUCCAACCUGCCCCCAACUAAGGAAUAACCUUGCGAAAGUAAGACUCAUACCUUAUAAUUUCCUCAGAUGACAUCUGACGAGGAAUAAAGAUUUAUCGGUUGUGGAUGGGGAUGCGUCUGAUUAGCGUGUUGGCGGGGUAACGGCCCACCAAGGCAACGAUCAGUAGGGGUUCUGAGAGGAAGGUCCCCCACAUUGGAACUGAGACACGGUCCAAACUCCUACGGGGGGCAGCAGUGAGGAAUAUUGGUCAAUGGGCGGAAGCCUGAACCAGCCAAGUAGCGUGCAGGAUGACGGCCCUAUGGGUUGUAAACUGCUUUUAUACAGGAAUAAAGUUAGCCACGUGUGGUUAUUUGUAGGUACUGUAUGAAUAAGGACCGGCUAAUUCCGUGCCAGCCGCCGCGGUAA
rnacentral:rRNA from 1 species